AUGGCCCCUCCUUGCAGUAAAUGGGUGAGGCAGGGCAAAGUUCUGGCUGCUAGAGAGAAGAGAACAGCACAGAACCCGCAUUCAGCGGAGAGAUGCGACCGAUGCAGGCCCCAGAGGGCGCGGGGUGGGAGAGCUGGGGCCUCGGCGGGGACACCCAGCUCUGCCCAGCCUUGCGUGUACGCGGGGCUCCGUGGGGAUGUCCAGUACCGGCCGCGGGGCCACCUCAGAGGCAGCGCUCGCCUAGCGGCGGCGGCGCAACCUAGAAGGCCCCGGGCCCCGGCUGCUUCUCUCCACGCGGACGGGGGCCGUGCGGGUGCUCCUAGUCUCAUAAAUUUGCUUCCCCCUCCCUUUAACCCGCCCCCUGGCCGUCUUUCUUCCCCGGACAGGAGGGGAUGUAAACCGUUUGAAGUUCAUCAGCACGGUGAAGUUUUAUUGUAUUUCCGGUCCCCAAGAUUUAUACCCGGGAGGGGGCGCGGGAGGCCUAGCGGACUCCCUCGUUACCUCGGACUUCCGUGUCGGACACGUGGACACUCGCCUCCCGGGCGAGGGAGGGAGGGAGCCGGCGGGACCCGGACAGGAACGCGGGCUCGGCACCUUGUGACUGCCACCGCCGCCCAGGUAAAACCGACAGCCGACUCCAUAGGCCUGGCAAAUCGGGAACAGGUGCUUUGCCUUAACUGACGCAUUUGCUCAGCGCCCCGCUCUCUGGCUGCCUGUCCGGGGAGCUGCUUCCACUUCCCCAAGUGUCCAGCCGCUACUUAGCAGAAUUUGCAUCGAAUUUUUGUUGCCCCCACUUGGGUCCUAUGGAGAAACGAAGAUCUUCACGCUGUUUGGUUCCGGAUCUGCCGGGCUGUCGCCCUCAGAGAGCGGGGGAGGAAUAGGAGGGGGCCGGCUGGGCGCCAGCAUUGAUCUUUAAAAAAUCAUUUUGAAAUCGCCAUAAUGUGAAGAAAUAUGGCGCUUCGCCCUCGUAUUUCACUCGUAAUGACACGAGAUGGCUUCAUUUGGAAAGAGAACGCGGGCGGGAGUGUGCCUGUGCGGAGGUGAUCCGCAGCCUUCCGGUGGGGCACAGGGUCCGUGGCCAAAAAAAAUAAAACCCCAAGUUAGAAUGGCCCCGCUUUUGUU
rnacentral:lncRNA from 1 species